CAUAUUUUCCUAUCCAGGGUCAUGUCCUCAAUUAGUUAUAAUUGUUCUAUGUCACGUCUAAUCACGUCUCUCCAGUAUUUCUUCGAUCUACCCCUACCCCGCUUGAAACCUUCCAAGGUCGACCUCUCACACCUACGAACUGGGGCAUUCGUGUCCCUCCUCAUCACAUGAUCAAACCAUCUCAACCUCACUUCCGCAUUUUAUCCUCCACUGAAACUACUCCCACUUUAUCCCAAAU
rnacentral:lncRNA from 1 species